GGGCCGUUAGCUCAGUUGGCAGAGCAGGGGACUUUUAAUCCCAAGGUCGGGGGUUCGAGCCCCCCACGGCCCACCA
rnacentral:tRNA from 2 species